rnacentral:misc_RNA from 1 species
AAGUCGUAACAAGGUUUCCGUAGGUGAACCUGCGGAAGGAUCAUUGAAGAAGAACCGGGACUACGUGUCCCAAUGCAGACGAAGACCCCUUCGUCCGUCGAAGUGUUGGAGCAACGAGCGAUGUGGGGAAGGCCUUGUGACUUCCCCUGUCGCUGUGUUGCGGCGGCAGGCCUGGCGGGUGAUACCCCCGGCCUAACUCCGCUUCUCUUUUUGAUUUCCGCAUUCGUGAUGAUUGGCUGAUGAACAGACGGUGGCCUGGUUUUCGCGCUUUUGCGAUGCCAGGUACGCCCGAUUGAAACUUUACACAACUUUUAACAAUGGAUCUCUUGGCUCUC